UAGAUGCGAGAGUAGAGCAUAUCAAUAAGCGGAGGAAAAGAAACUAACAAGGAUUCCCUUAGUAACGGCGAGUGAAGCGGGAAGAGCUCAAAUUUGAAAUCUUCAAGGUUCUACCUUGACGAAUUGUAGUUUAUAGAAGUGUUUUCUGUUAGUAGAGUGGCAAAAGUUCUUUGGAAUAGGACAUCAUAGAGGGUGAGAAUCCCGUAUUUGGUCAUUCUUUCUAGCUUUGUGAUACACUUUCAACGAGUCGGAUUGUUUGGGAAUGCAGUCCAAAAUGGGUGGUAAAUUUCAUCUAAAGCUAAAUAUUGGCGAGAGACCGAUAGCGAACAAGUACCGUGAGGGAAAGAUGAAAAGAACUUUGAAAAGAGAGUUAAACAGUACGUGAAAUUGUCAAAAGGGAAGCGUUUGACACCAGUGUUGUUUUUCCGAAAAUCAAUUACGAAUGUUUUGUUUUUGAGGAGUUAUGACUUCAUCGGCUUGCUUCUCUCUUUACGAAACUUUCUUAAUGCACUUUUCGGUUAACAAGUCAACAUCAAUUUCUUUUGUUGUAAAAGGGUAUGAGGAAGGUGGCUUUCUUUUCGGAGAAAGUGUUUAUAGCCUUGUGCCUCUGCAAUCGGAGAGAUUGAGGUCUGCAGCGUAGAUCCUUCGGGGUUAGAUACGUUUGUGCUAAGUUAUAGCUUUUCAUAGACAACUUGUUGACUAUGUUAAGUCUUGUAGCUUACUCGCUUAUGCUAUUUUACCUACGCUUAGGAUGUUGACACACGCGCGUGCUCG
rnacentral:rRNA from 1 species